rnacentral:rRNA from 1 species
GACGAACGCUGGCGGCGUGCCUAAUACAUGCAAGUCGAGCGGACAGAUGGGAGCUUGCUCCCUGAUGUUAGCGGCGGACGGGUGAGUAACACGUGGGUAACCUGCCUGUAAGACUGGGAUAACUCCGGGAAACCGGGGCUAAUACCGGAUGCUUGUUUGAACCGCAUGGUUCAAACAUAAAAGGUGGCUUCGGCUACCACUUACAGAUGGACCCGCGGCGCAUUAGUUAGUUGGUGAGGUAACGGCUCACCAAGGCAACGAUGCGUAGCCGACCUGAGAGGGUGAUCGGCCACACUGGGACUGAGACACGGCCCAGGCUCCUACGGGAGGCAGCAGUAGGGAAUCUUCCGCAAUGGACGAAAGUCUGACGGAGCAACGCCGCGUGAGUGAUGAAGGUUUUCGGAUCGUAAAGCUCUGUUGUUAGGGAAGAACAAGUACCGUUCGAAUAGGGCGGUACCUUGACGGUACCUAACCAGAAAGCCACGGCUAACUACGUGCCAGCAGCCGCGGUAAUACGUAGGUGGCAAGCGUUGUCCGGAAUUAUUGGGCGUAAAGGGCUCGCAGGCGGUUUCUUAAGUCUGAUGUGAAAGCCCCCGGCUCAACCGGGGAGGGUCAUUGGAAACUGGGGAACUUGAGUGCAGAAGAGGAGAGUGGAAUUCCACGUGUAGCGGUGAAAUGCGUAGAGAUGUGGAGGAACACCAGUGGCGAAGGCGACUCUCUGGUCUGUAACUGACGCUGAGGAGCGAAAGCGUGGGGAGCGAACAGGAUUAGAUACCCUGGUAGUCCACGCCGUAAACGAUGAGUGCUAAGUGUUAGGGGGUUUCCGCCCCUUAGUGCUGCAGCUAACGCAUUAAGCACUCCGCCUGGGGAGUACGGUCGCAAGACUGAAACUCAAAGGAAUUGACGGGGGCCCGCACAAGCGGUGGAGCAUGUGGUUUAAUUCGAAGCAACGCGAAGAACCUUACCAGGUCUUGACAUCCUCUGACAAUCCUAGAGAUAGGACGUCCCCUUCGGGGGCAGAGUGACAGGUGGUGCAUGGUUGUCGUCAGCUCGUGUCGUGAGAUGUUGGGUUAAGUCCCGCAACGAGCGCAACCCUUGAUCUUAGUUGCCAGCAUUCAGUUGGGCACUCUAAGGUGACUGCCGGUGACAAACCGGAGGAAGGUGGGGAUGACGUCAAAUCAUCAUGCCCCUUAUGACCUGGGCUACACACGUGCUACAAUGGACAGAACAAAGGGCAGCGAAACCGCGAGGUUAAGCCAAUCCCACAAAUCUGUUCUCAGUUCGGAUCGCAGUCUGCAACUCGACUGCGUGAAGCUGGAAUCGCUAGUAAUCGCGGAUCAGCAUGCCGCGGUGAAUACGUUCCCGGGCCUUGUACACACCGCCCGUCACACCACGAGAGUUUGUAACACCCGAAGUCGGUGAGGUAACCUUUUAGGAGCCAGCCGCCGAAGGUGGGACAGAUGAUUGGGGUGA